UGUUUAUCUUAAAAUACAGGACACCCAGUUAAAUUUUUAUUUAUCUGGCAACAUGAUAGCAGGAACAUCUGAGAAGCCAAAUAUGUUCAUUUCUGAAGUGGGACUGCAGAGGGGAAAUGUGUGAAGAGUCUAUGGAAAUAGGUACCAGCUCUUUGGCUACACAAGAUCAUGCUGGCCACCGUGUGGACAAUAGACAAUAGCAGGAAAGAAGUGAAAGCCAAAAAGCCAGGUGGAACCAAUGAACCGUUUAGCCCUGAGGAGUUACUGGCACCCAUUUCAUUUGUCUUUCUCCAGGUUUAAAAUUGAGGUGAUGAGAUGGAGUAUUACCUGUGUGCUUCAGAACAUCCACAAGUGACAUGUGAUAGUUGCCUGGGAAACUAAGAUGAAAUUCUACAGGCCUUUUGAAAUGCUUUACAUUUGAGAAUAAAGCUCAGCUGAAGUUUAAGCAGCAUACUGACAGUGAGUAUUGAUCUCUCAUAUUAUCUGUUAGAAUAUUUGAGCCGUAGAUAACAGA